AAGUCGUAACAAGGUUUCCGUAGGUGAACCUGCGGAAGGAUCAUUAAUGAAUGAAGUUUUUUGGGGUUUUUAAUCUCAAAAAAUAAUUCACCUUUUGUGCAUUGUUAUUAAGAUAUACUUUGGUUAGAGCUUUGAUUUCAUUUAUUGGAAUCAACUUCUUGUUAACUCUAUCCUUUCUGAGGACAGUUGGCUAUGAAGCGGCCUACCAAGGUUUUUUAUCAAACACAUUUAAUAUUUCUGACCUAAAAACAAAUAAUUAAAUCAUAACUUUCAACAACGGAUCUCUUGGCUCUC
rnacentral:misc_RNA from 1 species